AACAGCUCUGGUCUGUGUCGUGUUGUCCGGUGUGCCGUGUUCCCUAGUGUGUCUUUGGGGUCCCUUUUGCCUUUUCCCCUCGAGGCCCUCACCACAAGCAUGAUGUGUCGUGUUUAAUGUCCCCCUGUUUGUCACGUUCUGUGUCACGGGUGUGUGCACACGUUUGUGCCGGAGCUGUUCUGCCCUGCCGUAUGGCCUGCUGCAAUAGGACAAACCAUAGGGAGUGGGAAUUUGUAAUGUGGGCUGUACUUGGGCUCUAGAUGCUGUUCCUAGAUUGACAUAAGGUGUUUGCAGCUUGUGAGUUACCCUGGUGGUGUUUGACAUAUGUUGUAACUUUCUUUCAGGUGCAGAUGCAUUCCAUGUGUGGCAGAGGGUCAGGGUUAGGAGGUGCCGGGCCUUCUUAGGAGCGCGCUGUCUGAGAGACCCCAGCCCGGUGCCAGCAGGACCUUCCCAGGUGACGAGGUGGCCUUUCUUUGCACCAGAGACCAGCAUCCCCAGAUGUCUGAGAGAUAAGUAGAGGGCUGGGACCCACAGAGGGGAUGAAGGCAUGGUGCUUGUUUGGGAAUUACUGGGAGGGGUUUUUGAGUCCAGUUUGGAGCGGGGGGUGUUCAUUAAACGGCUCGUUAGGCCCCAUGAAAGCCAAGUCUCACUUUUGAUCUCAGUGCUGAGGUGUGUAGCAGGGCAGAGCAGUCCCGGUGUGUCUCGUGUCACUUGUCUAUUGUGCCUUGUGUGUUGUUUGUGUAUCUCAUCUCCUGUCUUUUGCCUUAGGGGGGCCUGUCAGAAUCCUUGGCAUCCUUGUUAGCAUCUGUGAUCUCUGCAUUCCUUGGCCUGGCACCCGGGCCACAGAACUUUUGACUGGGGAGCUCAGACAGGCAUCAGACUCUCUUCUCUCUUUUGAAGCAUCCCAUCUGAUUUCUUGUCAGGUCUUGUUCUGGGCUGUAUGGACAGCUAUGCCCACCUGGAUCCAUUCAGAUGCACCUCCUCAGAUGACUGCAGUAGUUCUGUAGAUUCCUUCUUCUGAAAGGGAAUAGGGCUCAAGAAUUCAUCUUCCAGAGAAUUUUUGCAAGUCCUGGCUUGUAUUGUAUCUGCCUAUGGUGGCUUAUGUUCUAUGUACCUAUACAUCUGUCUUCUAUUGGAUUUUGGGUAGAAAAUUUAUCAGUCCAGAGUGGGGACAAGUCCUAGCUGUCAGAUAGCCACUCGUUGACCCUUCCUGUCGUCUCACAGGUCCCCGAGGCUGCUGAUUUCCCCAGGAUCUGCCAUUUUACCUCACGGAGCGGCAGCCAGAAGAUGUGUCACAUCACGUUCUUCAGCAUCUCGAGUUUUGCGACUCCUUGUUAAAUUCAGAAUAAAAAAUCCCCAGCCGGGUUGUAUUGCAUGAACUGACAUGGUAUGUACCGAUGUUGGCUUAAAACCCAGAAAACCAGACGAAGAUGAGCAGGAAAAAACCAGAAAAAAACCCUAUGAUGGACAAGAAAAAAACCCAGAAAAAGGCCAGGAUGGGCAAGAAAGAAAUGAGAAAAAAACCCCAGAAAAUAAUCCCAGAUGGGCAAGAAAAAAACCUAGAAAAAACCCCAGAAAAUCACCCAAGAUGGGCAAGAAAAAACCCAGAAAAAACCACAAGAAAAAAACUCUGAGAUGGGCAAGAAAAAAACCAGAAAAAAGUCUGAAGAUGGGCAAGAAAAAACCUGGAAAAAACCCCCAAGAUGGACAAGAAAUAACCCAGAAAAAAAUUCGAAGAAGGGAAGAAAAGGCCCAGAAAACACCCAGAAAAAAAUCGCAACUCAAGUAUAAAUAUAGAAAUGUUUGUCAAGUAUAUGCAGAUAUAUAAAGAAAUGUUAAAUUAUUUGAAAUAUAAAAUAACAAAAAUAUAACAUAUAUACAGUAUUACUUGUAUUUUGGAUCGUAUUGAUUUAUGUUUAUUUCCUAUAAUACACUACAAUAUUUAUAUCAAUUUUACAUCUAUCAUCUCUAUCAUUUGUUAUAUGUUACACCAUAUUGAUAUACUCUAGGUUUUUUUAAGUAGUUUAAAAUAAAGGGGAGUUUUUUUUUAUUUGGCAAAAGCAGGUGUUUUAGUAUAGAAAUUAUAAAUACAAAUAAUAUAAAGGUAGAAAUCUAAGAAUAGAAAUAGAUCAUAAAUAGCUGAAGGUUAAUAUAAAAAUUAAAAAUGUAAGAAAAAAUAAGUUGUAGCAGUAGAUAUGGUACAUAAUUAGGAAAAUAAUUUAUCUCUAUUAUUUGAAUAGGAUA